ACAUGCAAGUCGAACGGACCCUUCGGGGUUAGUGGCGGACGGGUGAGUAACACGUGGGAACGUGCCUUUAGGUUCGGAAUAGCUCCUGGAAACGGGUGGUAAUGCCGAAUGUGCCCUUCGGGGGAAAGAUUUAUCGCCUUUAGAGCGGCCCGCGUCUGAUUAGCUAGUUGGUAAGGUAAAAGCUUACCAAGGCGACGAUCAGUAGCUGGUCUGAGAGGAUGAUCAGCCACAUUGGGACUGAGACACGGCCCAAACUCCUACGGGAGGCAGCAGUGGGGAAUCUUGCGCAAUGGGCGAAAGCCUGACGCAGCCAUGCCGCGUGAAUGAUGAAGGUCUUAGGAUUGUAAAAUUCUUUCACCGGGGACGAUAAUGACGGUACCCGGAGAAGAAGCCCCGGCUAACUUCGUGCCAGCAGCCGCGGUAAUACGAAGGGGGCUAGCGUUGCUCGGAAUUACUGGGCGUAAAGGGCGCGUAGGCGGAUCGUUAAGUCAGAGGUGAAAUCCCGGAGCUCAACUUCGGAAUUGCCUUUGAUACUGGCGAUCUUGAGUGUGAGAGAGGUAUGUGGAACUCCGAGUGUAGAGGUGAAAUUCGUAGAUAUUCGGAAGAACACCAGUGGCGAAGGCGACAUACUGGCUCAUUACUGACGCUGAGGCGCGAAAGCGUGGGGAGCAAACAGGAUUAGAUACCCUGGUAGUCCACGCCGUAAACGAUGAUUGCUAGUUGUCGGGCUGCAUGCAGUUCG
rnacentral:rRNA from 1 species